AGUGUUUACCACACUGGGUAUUUUGAGCCUUACAGACAUUUGUGAAGGCUUGGUCUUUUGUUCUGAGUGACAAUGAAGGUAGAGUAGAGCAGUGGUAUGGUUUUUAUUUAUUUAUGUUUUACAGGGACCAUUCCAGCUCCGGAUAGGAAGAAAAAGCCAGCAAGAGACAAGGGUAGAAUCAGGGAAAGCGUUUAAAGCAUUAUUGAGGUGACCUCCAUGACUUAUUCCCACACAGUGUCUGCACCUCUUCCUCAUUUGUAUUGAACACAUUAUAGACAGCCGUUCAGCAGACUUCUAUGAAGAUACCACACUGAGUGACUGCACUAAUUGGAAAGAAUUAGCAACAACUUCAAAAUCACAGAAAAAGACACAGAUGCUUUUAAAAGGAUGGAUAUCAUAGUUUGCUCAGAGGAAAAUUUGACUCCACACUGGACCUACAGGAUAUCUGGUGUUCAAACAUGGUGCUCGUUCUUGAAGGAAAGCCUCAGAGAAUACCAGAUUCCUGUCUACUAGCCCCUAUGAACUGCUGGUCCUCUGGAUUUCAUCUACUAUGCGCUGGUGUUUGCUACUUGGAACUUGAGCUGGUGUAGAAGAUUCUGGGGAGAUCUUGGCAUCUUUAGUAUUUUUCAGUUGCUCUGUGAUUUUGACCAAUCCUGAAAUGUCUCAACAUUUUUUAUUCUUCCUGGGGUAAACAUGAAAUUAGGAGCUAUAGAUGCCUUUCGAGUGCUCUUUUCCCUGCUAGACUUUCUGUCAGCAUUUUUGAUUUUGAGCAAUCCAUUUAAUCUCUUCUCCACAUUGCUGCCCUUGGUGAUGGCGAUAGUAGAGAUGAAGUUUUUCCUUGGGGGACAGGCCUGGCACACGAUGCCUCUAGAUUAUAAGAGCCUCCAAGCAGCAUGGAACCAAGGUCAUGUAAUCAGUGACCCAUCUGUCAUUGGGACUUAGCCUUCCAGAGCCUCAAUUUGAGUCCAGCAGACCAAUUAUCUUUGUCCUUCUAUCGUGUGCUGCCUUCUAUGUGUCCAAAGACAUUAAACCUAACCUCUUUGCCUGUUUCUUCUGUACUAACCCGACACACAAGACGGAAUUCAGAACAAGCUGCUUCCCAAAGUGCUUUCUGCAGAGAGAUGGAAAAGGAGCUCAACAAAUGGGUUUCCAGUUCAUAUGUAGCCACUGCAGGCAGGUCAGAUUCUCUCUUCAACCUAAAUCAUGAAGGCUACAUCCCGCAGGGCACAGAAAUGCCAGCCAUGGAAAUAUGGUCUUUCUUGCCCAUUUCUGCCUGCCACAAAGAGAAUACUUCUGGCACACACCACCUUAGUCCUAGUCCCAGAAAGCUUGAUCUCACUUCUUUUUACUGAAAUUGUGAUAAAAUCCAGGUUUUACUCACAGCAGAAUAACCUGCAGGGCUGGUUCCUUUAACUUUGGGGAAGGUAUCUAUACCAAAUUUUUACACAAUGAGCUUAGCAUGAAUGCCUAAAUCACACUCAUCAUUAUACAGCUAAUUUUUAGUAUAAACUUUUCAUUCUUUUUUGCAGAAUUUAGUUAAAAUGCUAAGUUAGUGCUUCAAUAAUUCUCUUUGUUGAGUUCUGGGAGUUCCUCUUGUUUAAUCUGUCAGGUUGGCCUGGAUCUCUUAUGUUUCUACCACCUCUUCUUGUCCCAAGAUAUUCUGCUCAAGAAUGACUAUUAUUUGUGUUACUAUUUUCAGAUAAUUCUCCAUUUCUACAGCUGCAAUUUAUUCAAGA